UUUGGCUCUUCACUGUAUCUCCAGAGUCUAGCUGACCCUGAUCCACUGGAGGCCUUGAAAUUUAUG
rnacentral:lncRNA from 1 species